rnacentral:rRNA from 1 species
UACGUAGGGUGCAAGCGUUAAUCGGAAUUACUGGGCGUAAAGCGCGCGCAGGCGGUUUUCCAAGUCAGUGGUGAAAGCCCGGAGCUCAACUCCGGAACUGCCAUUGAAACUGUUAAACUUGAGGACGAGAGAGGUGAGUGGAAUUCCCAGUGUAGAGGUGAAAUUCGUAGAUAUUGGGAAGAACACCAGUGGCGAAGGCGGCUCACUGGCUCGUAUCUGACGCUCAGGCGCGAUAGCGUGGGGAUCAAACAGG